rnacentral:rRNA from 1 species
UACGUAGGCAGCGAGCGUUGUUCGGAAUUACUGGGCGUAAAGAGUGUGUAGGCGGUGCUCUAAGUUCGGUGUGAAAUCUCCUGCUUAACUGGGAGGGUGCGCCGGAAACUGGAGUGCUUGAGCGUGGGGAGAGGAAAGCGGAAUUCCUGGUGUAGCGGUGAAAUGCGUAGAUAUCAGGAGGAACACCUGUGGUGUAGACGGCUUUCUGGACCAUUGCUGACGCUGAGACACGAAAGCGUGGGUAGCAAACAGG